GUGGGGAAUAUUGGACAACGGGGGGAACCCUGAUCCAGCCAUGCCGCGUGUGUGAAGAAGGCCUUUUGGUUGUAAAGCACUUUAAGCGAGGAGGAGGCUACCGAGAUUAAUACUCUUGGAUAGUGGACGUUACUCGCAGAAUAAGCACCGGCUAACUCUGUGCCAGCAGCCGCGGUAAUACAGAGGGUGCAAGCGUUAAUCGGAUUUACUGGGCGUAAAGCGCGCGUAGGUGGCCAAUUAAGUCAAAUGUGAAAUCCCCGAGCUUAACUUGGGAAUUGCAUUCGAUACUGGUUGGCUAGAGUAUGGGAGAGGAUGGUAGAAUUCCAGGUGUAGCGGUGAAAUGCGUAGAGAUCUGGAGGAAUACCGAUGGCGAAGGCAGCCAUCUGGCCUAAUACUGACACUGAGGUGCGAAAGCAUGGGGAGCAAACAGGAUUAGAAACCCGGGUAGUCC
rnacentral:rRNA from 1 species